AAAGAUGAUACUUUUUUAUUAACAGGCUGUAUUCUCAUCACACAAAAGAAACUCACCACUUCAGAUGUCUUUUUGAGCAGGACUGAAAAGCAGACAUCAUGUGUCUAUUUUGAAUCUCAUGUAGUAUAAGGGAGAAAGAGUGGGUGGUAGGAGAAUGCCAUGGGUCCUGCCCUGGAUGGAAGUGCACAGAAAUCCUGGGCUGAAUUAACAAACUAACAUGCCCAUAAGCCAGAAAUACCUCCUAUCUGUAUAUCAACAAGAAACAUGGUGGAAGAACCAGAGCUUGUUUUUGCCAGUCUAGUCAAGAAGACUUCAGUUCCUCUACAUGACUAAAACUGAGACAAUGACCAGGGAACUAUUGUAGAAAAUGGCACUUAAAAUACCUUCUGAUGACUGCAAGAUUACAAGUUGUGUAACACAGUCUGCCUGAAAUAUGGAAACGAUACUAAAAGUUGCUAGACAAAGAAAAUGAUGCAGCCUACGGUAUCUGUUCAGCUUUGAGUAACCUUGCUGAGAUGCUACAUGUAUAUUUUUUCCAUAUUGUGAUGUUAAAUAUGAGGAAAUUAGAAACAUUUGUAGACCUACUUUUAGUUACUGUGUCUGAUGCUAAAUUUUAAUUGACUAAUACAGGACUAUGUUCUGCAAAUAUUAUUUCUAUGCUACUGUCUGAAAAAGUUUGAAGCCUUUUGAGUGAGCAUAAACUGCAAGUGACUUUAGACGGGAUAACUUAUAUUCUUGAAUCUCCUCAAACGUACAUUCAUGAGGGAAUGAUAUGAGAACAUGCAGUCAGACUUUUCGAUUUAAUCAGAGAGCCAUUUGCAAAUCUAGAACUUAAGGACUUGUGAUAGUUGGAGUACCUGAAGGAAUUUGGAUUCAUAAACCAACUGAGGAAUUAAGCUCCACCAUUUAUAUUGCUUUUUUCCAUCUGUGAUAGAUGUAGUUUUGAGAUUUUUCAUAUUAAUAGGAAAUAAUGUUUGUUGAAUGCAUUCCACCAUGCAAUCACUAUGUAACAGUCAAGGUUGCUCAAUGCAACAACCACCAACCCAACAUGAGAAAAAUCAGCAGCUAAUUUGUGUUAAACACACAACACAUAAACAAUGAUUUUAUAGAAAUCUGGCCCCAUUCUACAUGUGCACAUCUCCCCUCACAUUCAAAAGCAAGUGUCUCCCCAAAACAAUCUUGAAGCUGUCACUGGAGUGAUAAGUGCAUAACAUUUUAAGAAAUCUGAGGCAAUCUUUGACAGCCAUAGCUGGUGACACUAAAUUUAAGAAAUGGAGAGAGCCUUUAAAAAUCGAAGGGGCCAGUCAAAAAGUGAGGUAAUUAAAAUCCCUUGACUCAGCCUGAAGGGAACUCAAGCAUGCCAUACGAGUCACAAAAGUCAUGCAUGCCCACUAACUACAGAGGAAACAAGAAAGCAAGAAACUCAAGUAGGAUUGAAUGUCAAAUUUCAAAAGAUUAUUUAUAUCAAACAGAUAAAUAAAAGUUAAAAAUCCAGCCCUAUAUAAUAGUCAAGAACAUAAACUAUGGCAGGUAAAAUGUAACUUGGCUCAGAGGGAUUUUGAAGAGCAACUAUCCAAAUAUAUCAAAGUAGGUAAGAAAUUAGUUCAGCAAAUCAGUAUUAGGAAGCCUGUGAGAAUCAACUGGUGUGCUAGAGCAGUGGUUCUCAACUGUGGGUCGCAACCCCUUUUUAAUGGGGUUGCCAGGGCUGGUGUUAGACUUGCUGGGUCCUGGGGCUGGGUCUGAAGGCUAAACCCCUAGCCCCAUUGCCCGAAGUUGGAGAGCUUCAGCCCUGAGCAGCAGGGUUCAGGUUAUAGGCUCCCUCCCUGAGGCUGAAGCCCUUGGGUUUCAACUUUGUCCUGCUCUCCCACGCAGGGCAGGAUGGGUCUCAGGCUUUGGCCUUCCCAUCCAGGCUGGUAGGGCUUGGGAGGGCUCAGGCUUCAGUUUCCUCUCCUGGGGUCGUGUAGUAACUUUUGUUGUCAGAAGGGGGUUGUGAUGCAAUGAAGUUUGAGAACCCCUGUAUUACAUUACCAUGGAGUUAAGGGAAAGGGUGCAAUGGUGAAAGAUAAUUACACUCUAGAGAUUUCUUCACCCCAGAGGUUUCUUUGCAGCAGCUUUCAUUACAGAGGAGAUACCUACCCUGGGUACUCUUUUCAAAUAAUAAAGAUGAAAUGCUGUCAGAGACAGUGCAGCUGACGGAUGAUCAAGCCAGUUGUUGCUCAGGAAGUUCAUGCUGUGGUCAAGUUGUAAACUGAACUCAGUACACUGAAGAUGGCUUUGAAAUGUGCAAAAUUACAGGAAAUGUAUCUGUUGACCUGUUGGCUGCUUAUGACACUGUGAACCAUUGUACACUUUUGUUAAAACUGGCAAGAAUUCUGAGAAAUAGCAAGGUGAUCUAGGUCACCUCCACCCUGCUCAAGCAUCAAUAUUCCUUUGUUGAAAUGGAUGAUCAGAAGUCAAUGGAAGGAUUACUCCAAGGUUGAGUACUAUUACCUUUGCUGUUUAAUGUCUAUACAACUGCCCAACCAGAACUCCCCAAUGCGCAAAGAUUCAUUUAUGCAGAUAAUCUUUGCAUCAUCACCCAGUUGGAAAGAUUUGAGGACACUGAGCACAUUCUAACUAGUACCCUGAAUGUGCUUGGAAAAUGCUACUGCACAUGGUUCCUAAAUGCCAACCCUAGCAAGACACAAGAGUGCGCCUUCCAUCUAAAAGUCAGGCCAAGCAACAACUCUAGAUAUAGUGGGAUAGUAAAACAGUACAAUCCUUGAGCACUGUGAACAUUGGGUAUACUUUGGGGUCACAUUAGACCAAAUGCUGACAUUCAAAAGAACACAUCAAGAAGUUUAAAAAGAAAGUGAACUUCAGGAAUUUUGUACUCCAGA